UUGAUCCAGAGAUUUCCGAAUGGGGAAACCCAGCAUGAGUUAUGUCAUGUUAUCGAUAUGUGAAUACAUAGCAUAUCAGAAGGCACACCCGGAGAACUGAAACAUCUUAGUACCCGGAGGAAGAGAAAGAAAAUUCGAUUCCCUUAGUAGCGGCGAGCGAAAUGGGAAGAGCCCAAACCAACAAGCUUGCUUGUUGGGGUUGUAGGACACUCUAUACGGAGUUACAAAGGACGACAUUAGACGAAUCAUCUGGAAAGAUGAAUCAAAGAAGGUAAUAAUCCUGUAGUCGAAAAUGUUGUCUCUCUUGAGUGGAUCCUGAGUACGACGGAGCACGUGAAAUUCCGUCGGAAUCUGGGAGGACCAUCUCCUAAGGCUAAAUACUCUCUAGUGACCGAUAGUGAACCAGUACCGUGAGGGAAAGGUGAAAAGCACCCCGGAAGGGGAGUGAAAUAGAACCUGAAACCGUGUGCUUACAAGUAGUCAGAGCCCGUUAAUGGGUGAUGGCGUGCCUUUUGUAGAAUGAACCGGCGAGUUACGAUUUGAUGCAAGGUUAAGCAGUAAAUGUGGAGCCGUAGCGAAAGCGAGUCUGAAUAGGGCGUUUAGUAUUUGGUCGUAGACCCGAAACCAGGUGAUCUACCCUUGGUCAGGUUGAAGUUCAGGUAACACUGAAUGGAGGACCGAACCGACUUACGUUGAAAAGUGAGCGGAUGAACUGAGGGUAGCGGAGAAAUUCCAAUCGAACCUGGAGAUAGCUGGUUCUCUCCGAAAUAGCUUUAGGGCUAGCCUCAAGUGAUGAUUAUUGGAGGUAGAGCACUGUUUGGACGAGGGGCCCCUCUCGGGUUACCGAAUUCAGACAAACUCCGAAUGCCAAUUAAUUUAACUUGGGAGUCAGAACAUGGGUGAUAAGGUCCGUGUUCGAAAGGGAAACAGCCCAGACCACCAGCUAAGGUCCCAAAAUAUAUGUUAAGUGGAAAAGGAUGUGGCGUUGCCCAGACAACUAGGAUGUUGGCUUAGAAGCAGCCAUCAUUUAAAGAGUGCGUAAUAGCUCACUAGUCGAGUGACACUGCGCCGAAAAUGUACCGGGGCUAAACAUAUUACCGAAGCUGUGGAUUGUCCUUUGGACAAUGGUAGGAGAGCGUUCUAAGGGCGUUGAAGCAUGAUCGUAAGGACAUGUGGAGCGCUUAGAAGUGAGAAUGCCGGUGUGAGUAGCGAAAGACGGGUGAGAAUCCCGUCCACCGAUUGACUAAGGUUUCCAGAGGAAGGCUCGUCCGCUCUGGGUUAGUCGGGUCCUAAGCUGAGGCCGACAGGCGUAGGCGAUGGAUAACAGGUUGAUAUUCCUGUACCACCUAUAAUCGUUUUAAUCGAUGGGGGGACGCAGUAGGAUAGGCGAAGCGUGCGAUUGGAUUGCACG
rnacentral:rRNA from 1 species